rnacentral:rRNA from 2 species
UACGGAGGGUGCAAGCGUUAUCCGGAUUCACUGGGUUUAAAGGGUGUGUAGGCGGGUCAUUAAGUCAGUGGUGAAAUCUCCGAGCUCAACUUGGAAACUGCCAUUGAUACUAUUGAUCUUGAAUUCUGUUGAGGUGGGCGGAAUAUGUCAUGUAGCGGUGAAAUGCAUAGAUAUGACAUAGAACACCAAUUGCGAAGGCAGCUCGCUAAACAGAUAUUGACGCUGAGGCACGAAAGCGUGGGGAUCAAACAGG